AAUCAGGUGCAGAGGGGAGCGAACCAUAACACGAUGAAAAGGGGAAGGGCCUGCUACCUAAAUAAACCAUUUUAGGCGCCAAAGCUUCGCCCCCCUUUUUGACACGGUAUCGUUUCUUUAGCAGGUCAUUUAACCUUCCAUUUCCUAAAUCUAUUUUCUAAACACGGCCCCCACUUCACCAAACUUCUCAGCCCUAAAAAUCAAAUUGUUUGGGCAUAUUCCAGCAGCCACCGAGUACACCACUUCAUCAGGUGAUCGAUGGCACUCCAGCGACAAUCGAUGAUGCCUUUGGACCCUUCCAACUUCAAUUUUCAGCGAAGAGGGCAGAGAUCCAUGGCUGAUUUGUAAGGUUCCAUUGUGGCUAUGGUCGUACGGAAGGAGGGGCCGUUCGUGGGCGUGGAGGAGGCUCGAAUGCUUCGGUACUGGUUUCAUGCGAGACUGCUGCGCACUUGAGCUUGGUGGCUAGGGUUCCAAAAAUCUGGUUGGGGUUUGAGUUUUGGGCCAUUAGGUGUUAGGCUGUUUGGGGUUAACUGGGUUAGAUCUGUUAUCGGGCUUAAGGGAUUUACUUGGGUUGUAAGUAUAAAUGGACUAUAGACAUUUAUUAGAUUUUAUUUUGUGAUUUUUGUUUUUUAAUUUUUUUUUUGGAUCUUAACGGGCCCGGGCGAAAUGGGCCUAUUACAAUUGACUUCAAAUUGUUUUAUAUAGUAUUUUGUUGCAUAUUCUUCGUUUGUUAA